UACGUAGGGUGCAAGCGUUAAUCGGAAUUACUGGGCGUAAAGCGUGCGCGGGCGGUUUUGUAAGUCUGUCGUGAAAUCCCCGGGCUCAACCUGGGAAUUGCGAUGGAGACUGCAAGGCUAGAAUCUGGCAGAGGGGGGUAGAAUUCCACGUGUAGCAGUGAAAUGCGUAGAUAUGCGGAGGAACACCGAUGGCGAAGGCAAUCCCCUGGACCUGUACUGACGCUCAUGCACGAAAGCGUGGGGAGCAAACAGG
rnacentral:rRNA from 1 species